UCCACGCUGUAAACGAUGGGUGCUAGGUGUCAGGGGCUAUAAGCCCUUGGUGCCGAAGCUAACGCGCUAAGCACCCCGCCUGGGUAGUACGGCCGCAAGGCUGAAACUCAAAGGAAUUGACGGGGGCCCGCACAAGCGGUGGAGCAUGUGGUUUAAUUCGACGCAACGCGCAGAACCUUACCGGGGUUUGACAUGCAGGUGGUACUGACCCGAAAGGGGAGGGACCCGCAUCU
rnacentral:rRNA from 1 species